rnacentral:lncRNA from 1 species
AUGACGGAGACCACACUCAGCUCCACAUUCUCCAUCGUUGUGAAAUCUUUGUUAGGAAAUAUUAUUUCUGUGCCAGUGUCUUUGGACGAUACGGUUCUGGACCUAAAGAUGAAGUUAUUUGCACUGGAUAGCUAUUUCUACCCUUCUCAGGCACGACUGUUUCAUGAUGGCCAGCAGAUGGCGAACGAACUAACUCUCAGACAUUACAACAUUACCUCCAACAGCAUUGUACACCGCGUUGAAAGGUUGCGAGGUGGUGGUUCAGCUCCCUUAAAGGGCAAGGAAGAUGUCUCAGGAAAUCCAGAAAUGGCCACAGUCAGAUGUCCCAGCAGAGGAAAGAAGCUGUCACUGUGUGAGGCAGGUAAGGGUCCUUGCCCACUGCUCUCUCUGCACUGGCCUUACAGAUCCUCACAGGGCACAGCUCUUGUCAGCACUGAGCCUGCCUGCCUCAAAAAUGUCCCAUGCCUACCUCGGAUCCUAGGGUGGUUGCCAGUCAUUGAUUUUCCUGGCCUCUUAUCUGAUGAGUGA